GCCGAAGUAGCUCAGUCUGGCAGAGCGUUCCCGAUAAAUCGGGAGAGGUCACGGGUUCAAAUCCCGUUUUCGGCGCCA
rnacentral:tRNA from 1 species